UUUCCGUAGGUGAACCUGCGGAAGGAUCAUUACUGAGUGAGGGCCCUCUGGGUCCAACCUCCCACCCGUGUUUAUUGUACCUUGUUGCUUCGGUGAGCCCGCCUCACGGCCGCCGGGGGGCAUCUGCCCCGGGCCCGCGCUCGCCGAAGACAUCCUUGAACUCUGUCUGAAGUUUGCAGUCUGAGCGAAAACUAAAUAAGUUAAAACUUUCAACAACGGAUCUCUUGGUUCCG
rnacentral:misc_RNA from 1 species